rnacentral:lncRNA from 1 species
GUUGCUAAAAAUUCAAAUCGACCGAGAUUUUUGACCUAAUCGAUGCGAUAUAUCACAUGCCAGUUCAACCACGUCACUUGAGCUUGACGAAUCACCUUAAGUGCCUUAUGAAAACAGCACUAUCAGUCGUAUCUUCAUUUUACAAAUUUUAUUAAAUUACAGGGCAAUUUGCAAUGAUGAUUUUUUUUUAAAGUUUAUUGUGUUGGCUAAAAACCUGCUUUAUCCCAUGAUAAAAAUACAAGUUUCAUAAUUUGUUUUCCGCACCUCUGACUUGCAAACACUCUUUAAGCAUUUGCUUUAUUGAUUUUUAUGUACCGCUGCAGACUCCACUUCAUCUUCCGCACCUUCUUCCGCACCUUCUUUUACUUUUUCCGGGAGAAAGAAUGCCGACUGGAUGGAGGUGCUUAAUGAUUCAAUCACCAAACAGUGGAAAAAAGGGCACAUAAAAAUCGACAAAUAACCGACAUCACCCAGGAUCUCCUCUGUAUGAUAGAGUUAGAAAAAGAACUGAUGAAUGAGACUAAUAAUGAAGAGAAUGAUGAUUAUAGUCUCUACAAUUUGUUUGAGCCAGGGGCAAAUUCAACCCCGCAACCAAAGCCAUCGGGCUUUCACGCGCCAAAUGAAGACUUUGCAAGCUUACUUGGGGCGUGGAGCCGACUAGCAUUACACAAAAUUUGGGAGCUGCCACCCAGUCACAGCUGAAAAUACAGCACCGGUACACGAUCGAAGUGUCCACCAUGAUCCUGGAGUCACUCCCAGAAUAGAUUUCCAACCUCGGAGCUUAAAACGAAAGUCUGUCGCCAGUGAUUUUUAGCCAUUUCUUAUAUUUAAUCUUUAUUUCCUUUUGAUUGUUGUACAUACCAUGUGUGUGCUUUAUCAAUAAAAACAACAGAUUUAGACGCAUUUAAUUUAGUUUUGUCUUUUUUAAAAUAAAUAAAUAAAAAAAAAUGGUAGUUUUUAAAUCCAGUCUAAUUCUCUGAUCAUUACUGUGUAUGAUUCUGUAAGCCUGGUUCUUUAAAAAAUUAAAAUAUUACGUAAUUUCCCUGUUUGUUUCAUGGUAUUUAUCUAGUGCAAAAAUUUAAAAUAAAAUGGUCAAGUCGAAUGAAAGUAGUUUUCUGUUCAAACAGUAUUAUCAGUGGAAAAUUUGAAACAUAGCAAAAAUUUCUAGGAUGAAAGAUACGUUAUGCUAUUAUGUAACAAAAUCCCUCACAUUUUCGGGAGGAGCCAAGAAAAUUUUGAAAAAUUGAGUCGUCUCAUGAGCAAUUUUCUAGGGAGGGAAGCCUCAGUUUCUAUUGAGAAUAUUAUUUGCUUCUUUCCAGCUAGAAAUUAUGAAUUUCUGUUACGAGGAAGAAAAGCGAAAGAACGCAGCGCUUCUCAAUGAGAUAUCUAGGCUACAACUAGAAGUUAUUAAAUUGCGUUUGGUAAGUACACUAUUAUAAAAUUGAAAAUUUUGAAACACUUUGAACUUUUCUUAAAACUGUAGGCACAAUGACAAACUCCUACAGAAAAUUUCGGAAGUAUACCUAGAAAUUCUUUCUUAAGAUGAAGAUCAGUAAGUAGACUGUAAUGAAAUUGAACAUUUUAGAAAAACAACGUCUUAAUUUGCUAAUGGCAAUGGUGCUACAGCUACUUUUGAACAUUUCAGGAAAUUUGCUUCACGCUACAAUGAAAAUUCCUAGAAGUCUUUAAAAGAAUCUAUAGAACUGAUCAGGGCCGGAUUAAGGGUAGGGCCACAUGGGCCGCGGCCCAUGGCGGCAAAUUUUGAGAUUUUUUCAACUUAUGUUGUUGAUUCUUGAAUGAAUUCUUUAGUUUUGUUUUCAAAGUACGACCUUUGAAAGAGUAGGUACAACUCUACAAGAAUUUCUCUGAGUUUCAAUAAAAUGCAGCCUAAUUUACUAGCCAGAUAAUAAACUCUCUAGUUUUUCUGCCCCCCCAAAAAAAACCCAAAAACCCCCCAAAAAUCGUGAAAAGUUCUCUUAAUGGCCCACUUAACAUGAUUUUUCACAAUUUUCACUCGUUCCAAUCGCAAGUACGCACAAAAUUACCCGGAUACAGGUAUCCUAUGAAUGAUUGGCAAAUCUUCCCGGAGAGUUAGAGAA